GAGGCUGGAGGCCGAGCUCUGCAGAGCUUACAAUUGAGACUGCUAACCCCUACCUUUGAAGGGAUCAACGGAUUGUUGUUGAAACAACAUUUAGUUCAGAAUCCAAUCAGACUCUGGCAACUUUUAGGUGGUACUUUGUAUUUUAACACCUCAAGGAUGAAGCAGAAGAAUAAGGAGAAGGAUAAGUCGAAGCGGAAGGCGCCUGAAGAGGACGAAGAAUCUCACUCUGUUGCCCAGGCUGGAGUGCAAUGGUGCAAUCUCAGCUCAAUGCAACCUCCCCUUCCCGGGUUCAAGCAAUUCUCCUGCCUCAGCCUCCCAAGUAGCUAGGAUUACAGGUGCUUACCACCACAGCCUGCUAAUUUUUUGGUUUUUGUUUGUUUGUUUUUGAGACGGAGUCUCGCUCUGUCGCCCAGGCUGGAGUGCAAUGGCGCAAUCUCGG
rnacentral:sRNA from 1 species